AGUGAACGCUGGCGGUAGGCCUAACACAUGCAAGUCGAACGAGUGGCGGACGGGUGAGGACUACAUCGGAAUCUACUCUGUCGUGGGGGAUAACGUAGGGAAAAUUACGCUAAUACCGCAUACGAUUGAUUGAGCCGAUGGCGGAUUAGCUAGUUGGCGGGGUAAAGGCCAACCAAGGCGACGAUCCGUAGCUGGUCUGAGAGGCUGAGCAGCAACACUGGAACUGAGACACGGUCCAGACUCCUACGGGAGGCAGCAGUGGGGAAUAUUGGACAAUGGGCGCAAGCCUGAUCCAGCCAUACCGCGUGGGUGAAGAAGUCCUUCGGAUUGUAAAGCCCUUUUGUGGGGAAAGCGGUACCCAAAGAAUAAGCACCGGCUAACUUCGUGCCAGCAGCCGCGGUAAUAC
rnacentral:rRNA from 1 species